rnacentral:rRNA from 1 species
GACGAACGCUGGCGGCGUGCUUAACACAUGCAAGUCGAACGGAAAGGCCCUGCUUUUGUGGGGUGCUCGAGUGGCGAACGGGUGAGUAACACGUGAGUAACCUGCCCUUGACUUUGGGAUAACUUCAGGAAACUGGGGCUAAUACCGGAUAGGAGCUCCUGCUGCAUGGUGGGGGUUGGAAAGUUUCGGCGGUUGGGGCUGGACUCGCGGCUUAUCAGCUUGUUGGUGGGGUAGUGGCUUACCAAGGCUUUGACGGGUAGCCGGCCUGAGAGGGUGACCGGCCACAUUGGGACUGAGAUACGGCCCAGACUCCUACGGGAGGCAGCAGUGGGGAAGAUUGCACAAUGGGCGGAAGCCUGAUGCAGCAACGCCGCGUGCGGGAUGACGGCCUUCGGGUUGUAAACCGCUUUCGCCUGUGACGAAGCGUGAGUGACGGUAAUGGGUAAAGAAGCACCGGCUAACUACGUG